GGGAGAGCAAUCGGACAAGACCCUUUGGUUUGUCGUCUGUUACGGGGGAUUAAAAUGAGACGCCCUCCGACACCAAAAUAUCACCAUCUCUGGGAUGUGGAUGUGGUACUCCGGUUCCUGAAGGAAUGGCCUUCAAAUGAACACUUAUCCUUGAAACAGCUGACGGCGAAAUUCACCUUCCUCCUGAGCCUGGUUUCGUUUCGCCGCGUCUCAGAUAUACGGGCGUUUGAUGCUGAUGCUUUUUCUAUUGGCCCAGAUGGGGUUACAUUCCAACUCUCCCGGAGAACCAAGACUGAUUCGAAGUCGGUAUUUUACCCCUUCUUUACAUCGGAACCCCAGCUAUGUGUGGUUAGGACAUUGAGAACAUAUAUAGAGACAACGGGGUCGCUACGACGACCGAACUCCCGACAACUACUGAUAUCAUACGUGAAACCUCAUGGUCCAGUGUCGACCACCACACUAUCAAGAUGGAUUAGAUGGAUCCUCACCCUGGCGGGGGUGGAAUCGUCCUUCGGAGCGCACUCCGUACGAGGUGCGGCGGCGUCUUCAGCUUUUUUGGCAGGGGCAUCGUUGGCGGA